rnacentral:lncRNA from 10 species
CCUCAGUAUUCAAGCUGCCUUUGUGAGAUAAGAGAACAAUGCUUGUGAAUCUUCUGCAAAGUUUGGCAAUUUUCAAUUUAAAUAUUUACCAGGAGUUCAAUUAUCAUAUUUGCCAUAAAUACAUAACGCAAGAAAGAUGGUAAUAACCAUUAUAAUAGACCUCAACAGUGUUAUGAGAACCAAAUAGGAGAUUAAUUUCUAUUGGGGCAAUCUGGGAAGGGCUUAUGUGAAAGUUUUGAACUGGGCCUUGAAGUUUAGGUAGGUUGCAAAGCCAGUGUCCACCCUGUUCCUUUGGCCAAUUCUGGCUAACUCUAACCACCUUUGCAGGUCAGCCUAAAGGUCACUUCCUCUUGCACAUCUUCUCUGAUGCAAUCCCCCAACAUACUCCCAAUGUCCUUUUCCUAUUAUCACAUCUUUUAAUUGCCUGCCUUGCUAUACACUCUAAGCCCCAUAGUAAAAGGAACUCCUUUACUCAGCAUUACAUCUUCAUGGUUUAGUACAGUACCUGACACAAGGAAUUCAAUCAAUCAAUAAUGAAUGAAUGAAUGAUAGAAAAGUGGGGAGCAAAAGAGGAAAUACCUAAACUGCUCUAAAAUCAAGUCUCAAAAAUUAAAAAAAAUUGGAAACAGCAAUGACGGUGUGGAGAAACACCAAAAGACAUAAAAGAAAGGAAAAUCAGGGAGUGAACUCCUCCUGUUCCCAGUCCGUGGCCUUUGAGUGAGCUCCCAUCCCUGGCUCCUAGGACGGGACAGCUAACACAGAGCUCCGAGUCAAGCAGACACAGUGGGUGCCAUCCUGACACCUCAAGGGAACAGCACAUCUGGGAAAAGUGUCUAAUAGAGAAGAGGAGUCAAGAGAAGAAGGGGGAGAAUCACAGCCCUGAGGACACCAUCUAUGUUCUGGAAUUCUACCAUGCUUAAAGGAAACCACACAUUCAAAAUAAUGCUAACCUGUCAAGUUAUUGAUCUGCACUGUACAUAUUUCCUGGUCAUAGGCAGCUUCCACACAAGAACAUCUGGAUGCAAAUUAAAGAAUUCAAUUACUCAAGCCUAAGUGAUAGAGGAGACCUCGGCUACUCUGCCUGAGCACAUCACUGCUGGAUCUCAAAAUCUGCAAGAACUUCCUAGGGCUUCAGGAACUUUCAUGUGCAUACCAGUCACCUGGGAAUCUUGUUACGAUGCAUAUUCUUUUUCAGUAAGCCCAAAUUCUGCAAUUCUUAUAAGGUCUUAGGGGACAUGAUGUUUGCUUCUAGUGGUCCAUGGUCUACUCCUGAAGGUCCACCAUGCCCAGCUUCAUCUCCCCACCCUCUGGAAACUCUCCUGUACCCAAGCCACUUGCUCUCUUCUAAAUAGGCAUUGUGUUCCCAUGUUCCCAUGUGUCUGCCUCUUUCAACUUCUCCUCUAAAAAUUCUCCAUGACCCCCAAGCAUAAGCCUCCAGCAGCAAGCUCAAAAAUGCUUUCUACUCUGUUGUGUUGCCCGGCCCACUUCAAGAGUAGAUGCUCAAUUCCUUCUUCCCCUAGUCGUAUUUGCUGCUACUUUUGCAGGCUGCUGGAACACUUUCACUCUGAGGAUUCUGAUGAACACAGUUCUUGCCCUCUUCACUUUUCCAAUCUGGUUGCAGGCACAGCGGGGGACAGCAGGAGUGCAACACAGUAACUUAAUAUAAUAUGGAGCUGCUAUUAUGGAGGGAAACAUUCACUGCUCUGAAAGGACUCAACAGCUGAGUCUUAAAGAAGGAUUUUACAAGAUUGACAAAGAAAUGGGUUAUCUCCAGAUAGGAAGGAAAAAUCACAAGGAAUAGUACAGCAAGGAAAGAGGAAACAGCACUGGACUUGGGGAAAAGGGAAAUCCUUGAGAUGUUGCUAAGGCAUAAAGAGCAAGACAGAGAGUGUCAGAAGAUGACACUGACGUCACCUGACUCCUGCUGCUGAGCUUCUCUGACAUUUUCUCAAGGGCUCAAGGCUUGGAUACCCUCUGAUAUGGUUUAUCUGUGUCCCCGCCCAAAUCUCACCUUGGUUUGUAAUCAUCUCCAUGUGUCAAGAAUGGGACCAGGUGGAGAUAAUUGAAUCAUGGGGGCAGUUUCCCACAUACUGUUCACAUGGUAGUAAAUAAGUCUCAUGAGCUCUGAUGGUUUUAUAAAUGGGAGUUCCCCUGCACAGGCUCUUUUUGCCUGCCACCAUGGAAGACACCCCUUUGCCCUUCCUUUAUUUUCUGCCACAAUUGUGAGGCCUCCCUAGCUAUGUGGAAUUGUGAGUGCAUUAAACCUCUUUCCUUUACAAAAUUACCCAGUCUUGGGCAUGUCUUUAUUAGCAGCAUGAGGACAGACUAAUACACCCUCUUUCAAUACCUAAAAUAGACAAAGCCCUAUUUGGAAUUUUGGAAAAACACAAUCUAGUCUCCGAAGGUAGGCACAGAAGCUCUGAGCUGACACAAUAUUGAAGUCGUUACUUGCCUGGUCCUUAGGCAUUUCCUAGUCCACAAUCACACAUCCA